AUGAAUAUGAAAUCUCGAGGUUUAGCGAUUUACCGACUUGACGAAAUCGAAGGCGCUUUUAGGGUAUGCAGCAAGUUUUGGACAACAACAUUUGGACUGGUUUGCGACAGCAGUAGCGGCAGGUUUUUGUUGUAUAAGGGCUAUGGUUUGGCAUAUGAUGAGAAAAGUUUUGGUGUUUUGGACAACAACUUUAUGGAGGAUAGCAACAAGUGA